rnacentral:rRNA from 1 species
UACUUAGUGGCAGACGGGUGAGUAACAUGUGGGUAUCUACCCUUUGGCCUGGAAUAACACGAGGAAACUUGUGCUAAUACCGGAUAAGUCUUUACGGAGAAAGCUUUAUGCACCAUUGGAUGAGCCCGCACUUGAUUAGUUUGUUGGUAGGGUAAUGGCCUACCAAGACUAUGAUCAAUAGCUGAUUUGAGGGGAUGAUCAGCCACAUCGGGACUGAGACACGGCCCAAACUCCUACGGGAGGCAGCAGUGGGGAAUCUUGCACAAUGGAGGAAACUCUGAUGCAGCGAUGCCGUGUGAGUGAAGAAGGCCUUUGGGUUGUAAAGCUCUUUCGUCGGGGAAGAAAAUGACUGUACCCGAAUAAGAAGGUCCGGCUAACUUCGUGCCAGCAGCCGCGGUAAUACGAAGGGACCUAGCGUAGUUCGGAAUUACUGGGCUUAAAGAGUUCGUAGGUGGUUGAAAAAGUUGGUGGUGAAAUCCCAGAGCUUAACUCUGGAACUGCCAUCAAAACUUUUCAGCUAGAGUAUGAUAGAGGAAAGCAGAAUUUCUAGUGUAGAGGUGAAAU